UACGUAGGGACCGAGCGUUGUCCGGAAUCAUUGGGCGUAAAGAGCGUGUAGGCGGCUUUACAGGUCCGUUGUGAAAACUCGAGGCUCAACCUCGAGACGCCGGUGGAAACCGUAAGGCUAGAGUCCGGAAGAGGAGAGUGGAAUUCCUGGUAUAGCGGUGAAAUGCGCAGAUAUCAGGAGGAACACCCGUGGCGAAAGCGGCUCUCUGGGACGGUACUGACGCUGAGACGCGAAAGCGUGGGGAGCAAACAGG
rnacentral:rRNA from 1 species